UACGUAGGGUGCAAGCGUUGUCCGGAAUUAUUGGGCGUAAAGAGCUCGUAGGCGGUUUGUCGCGUCGGAUGUGAAAAUCAGGGCUCAACCCUCGGAGCCUGCAUUCGAUACGGGCAGACUAGAGUUCGGUAGGGGAGACUGGAAUUCCUGGUGUAGCGGUGAAAUGCGCAGAUAUCAGGAGGAACACCGGUGGCGAAGGCGGGUCUCUGGGCCGAAACUGACGCUGAGGAGCGAAAGCGUGGGGAGCAAACAGG
rnacentral:rRNA from 1 species